GACGAACGCUGGCGGCGUGCUUAACACAUGCAAGUCGAACGGUAAGGCCCUUCGGGGUACACGAGUGGCGAACGGGUGAGUAACACGUGGGUGAUCUGCCCUGCACUUCGGGAUAAGCCUGGGAAACUGGGUCUAAUACCGGAUAGGACUCCUGCCUGCAUGGGUGGGGGUGGAAAGCUUUUGUGGUGUGGGAUGUGGCCCGCGGCCUAUCAGCUUGUUGGUGGGGUGAUGGCCUACCAAGGCGACGACGGGUAGCCGGCCUGAGAGGGUGACCGGCCACACGGGGACUGGGAUACGGCCCAGACUCCGACGGGAGGCAGCAGUGGGGAAUAUUGCACAAUGGGCGCAAGCCUGAUGCAGCGAGGCCGCGUGAGGGAUGACGGCCUUCGGGUUGUAAACCUCUUUCAGCACAGACGAAGCGCAAGUGACGGUAUGUGCAGAAGAAGGACCGGCCAACUACGUGCCAGCAGCCGCCGUAA
rnacentral:rRNA from 1 species